GUGAAUCAUCAAAUUUUUGAACGCAAAUUGCACUCUCCUCGGAGAGUAUGCCUGUUUGAGGGUCAGCCUAUAAAAAAUCGACAUCGUUGCUGUUUCGCGGUGACGUUCGUCGGAAAUUGGGUCAUCUUAAAUCCUUUUGGUUUUAAGCGACUUAAAAUUUUCUUUUUGGUUCCAUGAACGUUUCUAAGAUUUAUUUUUUUCCAGUUUUAGGGCCUUGGUUUUUUAUUAGACGUAACAUUAA
rnacentral:misc_RNA from 1 species